GACGAACGCUGGUGGCGUGCCUAAUACAUGCAAGUAGAACGCACAGUUUAUACCGUAGCUUGCUACACCAUAGACUGUGAGUUGCGAACGGGUGAGUAACGCGUAGGUAACCUGCCUGGUAGCGGUUGGUAACUAUUGGAAACGAUAGCUAAUACCGCAUAAUCUUGAUUAUUGCAUGAUAAUUGAUUGAAAGAUGCUAUUUCAUCACUACCAGAUGGCCCUGCUGUGUAUUAGCUAGUAGGUGAGGUAACGGCUCACCUAGGCGACGAUACAUAGCCGACCUGAGAGGGUGAUCAGCCAACAUGGGACUGAGACACGGCCCAGACCCCCACGGGAGGCAGCAGUAGGGAAUCUUCGGGAAUGGACGAAAGUCUGACCGAGCAACGCCGCGUGAGGGAAGAAGGUUCUCGGAUCCGAAAGCUCGGGUGUAAGAGAAGAACGGAAGUGAGAGUGGAAAGUUCACACUGUGACGGUAUCUAACCAGAAAGGGACGGCUAACUACGUG
rnacentral:rRNA from 1 species